GAGCACUCUACUCAUUCCCUCAACGAGUUUUCGCUCAGCUGCGGCACGACUGACAUGGGCCACCCGAGCGUCCGCUGCUCUCUAAUCGCCGGUCGGCACAUCCUCCAAAGUGCAGGCGCAUACUGCACAGUGCACCGGGCACGAGUGCACUCUCUGUGCACUGUGUCGUGCAGUGUCGUGCACGCCGCGCCGCGCUGUGCAGCGGGACACACGCGUCUCGCGCGCGCCGGGACUGGUACGGCCUGGUACGGCGCCGUGCUGCCGUUCCCACGCAGAUGUCGACCAGUCUCCAAGGAUUGAGCAACGAGAGCAGAACGUCCGAACACGCCCGGCCGACCUGCAUUUUUCUUCUUCUCCGACGGCGCCCCGAUGUUCGCCCUCAGCCGAGGGUCGUGUCGCGAAUUAUUCACCGGAUCUGGAGCCGGUUUUUCUGGAAUUGGAGUGUGACCGAGCAAUUAGUGCACGAGCUGUGCACUAUAUCGCUGUGCACGCGGGGGCGGAGAGGGAUCACUGAUCGAAAAUCGGGAGAAACUUGCCGUGCAGCUUGCACGCAGGACACGCACAGGAUAGUCGAACUGCCUAACGGUUUAGUUGGCGGUCUCCUCCAGCAGAAGACAGUGACACAGAUGAGAACAACAAUCGAAAAGUCCAAGAAGGUUGAUAGCUGACGUAAAUAUAAAGGCAUACAUCCAUGGAAAAUGGGUUAUUACCUAAACACACCAGUAGUUCUUACACCAUGAUAUUCAAGAUUUAGAAUGCAAUAGCCGUUCUAUUAUUCAUAUGUAAUUCCUAUACAGUGAACUCUGAUGCACAUACAGUGACGCUUCAGUCACCUAUGCCAUAAGCACAUAUUCGCGGUAGCAGUGGAGACAUGAGCGUAAUCUCCAAGACCAUCUCCUUUGGGAACCUUAGGCUCUUGGAAACCGUAUUUCCCACACAUCUCAGAGCCUUUUCGGUACCGUGUGCGCCGGCCCAAUCUCGCCGGGUCGCCAGGGCCGGACCGAUCGUGCCGUGCUGACCGGCCGUGACCGGUACACGCUGGCCCGCCCAGUGCCGGUGACCGGAGGGGCGGGUGCCAGUUCCGGCGGAGUCACACUCGGACCACCAGCCACCGGAAGCCGGCCGGCAGCCGUGAAGGACGCGGCCUUUGAAGUCACGCCGACCGAGACCCAACCGGGGGGGGGGGGGGGGCACGUGACGGCUACCGGCCACUGACCUGCCUGAACCGGGAGGUCAGUUAUUAGUGCAUAAUUGACCCCGAACUUCGCGUUUUGCAACUUGUAGAUAUUCACCGCACAGAGUUGCGGGAUGAGGGAAAAUAAGCCACUCUAAUACUGACCAUGAAGUCGACUGUGCUCUACGUACGUUAUGUAUUGUUCUUAUUUUCUACCUACAAGUAAUACAUGAUAGUACGAUCGGAAA